rnacentral:rRNA from 1 species
UACGUAGGGUGCGAGCGUUGUCCGGAAUUAUUGGGCGUAAAGAGCUCGUAGGCGGUGUGUCGCGUCGGCCGUGAAAACCUGCAGCUUAACUGUGGGCUUGCGGUCGAUACGGGCAUCACUGGAGUUCGGCAGGGGAGAGUGGAAUUCCCGGUGUAGCAGUGAAAUGCGUAGAGAUCGGGAGGAACAUCAGUUGCGAAGGCGGCUCUCUGGACCAGUACUGACGCUGAGGCACGAAAGCGUGGGGAGCAAACAGG